UACAGAGGGGGCUAGCGUUGUUCGGAAUUACUGGGCGUAAAGCGCGCGUAGGCGGACCUGCAAGUCGGGGGUGAAAGCCCGAGGCUCAACCUCGGAACUGCCUUCGAUACUGCGGGUCUCGAGUCCGGGAGAGGUGAGUGGAAUUCCUAGUGUAGAGGUGAAAUUCGUAGAUAUUAGGAGGAACACCCGUGGCGAAAGCGGCUCUCUGGGACGGUACUGACGCUGAGACGCGAAAGCGUGGGGAGCAAACGGG
rnacentral:rRNA from 1 species